rnacentral:sRNA from 1 species
CUGCUGCGGGCUGAUCCAGUGGAUGUGGGCGUCGAUGCCGCCGGCAGUGAGGAUGCGGCCCUCGCCGGCGAUGGCUUCGGUGCCGGGGCCGAUGACGAUGUCCACAUCCGGCUGCACGUCCGGAUUGCCGGCCUUGCCGAUAGCCGCGAUGCGCCCAUCCAGGAUGCCGAUAUCGGCCUUGACGAUGCCCCAAUGAUCGACGAUCAGGGCGUUGGUGAUGACCGUGUCGACGGCGCCGCCGGCGCGGCUGAUCUGGCUUUGGCCCAUGCCGUCGCG